UUGGUGUGCCUUCCGCAUCAUCCUGGAGAACGUUUUCUGUACUUGAUUGUGCGGAGCGGUAUCCAGGACUUUUACUUUGAGAAAAUUAGAGUGUUUCAAGCAGGCUAACGUCUUGAAUACUGCAGCAUGGAAUAAUAAGAUAGGAUUUCGGUUCUACUUUGUUGGUUUUAGGAACUGAAUUAAUGAUUAAUAGGGACAGUUGGGGGCAUUCGUAUUUAACUGUCAGAGGUGAAAUUCUUAGAUUUGUUAAAGACGAACUACUGCGAAAGCAUUUGCCAAAGAUGUUUUCAUUAAUCAAGAACGAAAGUUAGGGGAUCGAAGACGAUCAGAUACCGUCGUAGUCU
rnacentral:rRNA from 1 species